UACGAAGGGGGCUAGCGUUGCUCGGAAUCACUGGGCGUAAAGGGCGCGUAGGCGGAUCUUUAAGUCAGGGGUGAAAGCCUGAGGCUCAACCUCAGAAUUGCCUUUGAUACUGAAGAUCUUGAGACCGGAAGAGGUAAGUGGAACUGCGAGUGUAGAGGUGAAAUUCGUAGAUAUUCGCAAGAACACCAGUGGCGAAGGCGGCUUACUGGUCCGGUUCUGACGCUGAGGUGCGAAAGCGUGGGGGAGCAAACAGG
rnacentral:rRNA from 1 species